rnacentral:rRNA from 1 species
GAUGAACGCUGGCGGCGUGCCUAAUACAUGCAAGUCGAGCGAACAGACGAGGAGCUUGCUCCUCUGAUGUUAGCGGCGGACGGGUGAGUAACACGUGGAUAACCUACCUAUAAGUCUGGGAUAACUUCGGGAAACCGGAGCUAAUACCGGAUAACAUGUUGAACCGCAUGGUUCAACAGUGAAAGACGGUCUUGCUGUCACUUAUAGAUGGAUCCGCGCCGCAUUAGCUAGUUGGUAAGGUAACGGCUUACCAAGGCAACGAUGCGUAGCCGACCUGAGAGGGUGAUCGGCCACACUGGAACUGAGACACGGUCCAGACUCCUACGGGAGGCAGCAGUAGGGAAUCUUCCGCAAUGGGCGAAAGCCUGACGGAGCAACGCCGCGUGAGUGAAGAAGGUCUUCGGAUCGUAAAACUCUGUUAUUAGGGAAGAACAAAUGUGUAAGUAACUAUGCACGUCUUGACGGUACCUAAUCAGAAAGCCACGGCUAACUACGUG